rnacentral:misc_RNA from 1 species
UCAAGAGAAAUCUUUCCCAACCGAAAGAUCUUUUCCUUUGUGCUGGCUUUGACUGUAUGUAAUUUUGGGACUUCAAAAUGGUUUCGUCGUAAAACAACGAGCCGGUCCCAAAAAACAAUAUAUCAUCCUUAUGAAAUUUUUCUGAACUUAUAAACAAGUGAUUUUAAUAAUCUGUUUAAAA